UACGUAGGGGGCAAGCGUUGUCCGGAAUUAUUGGGCGUAAAGAGCGCGUAGGCGGUCCGAUAAGUCGGCUGUGAAAGUCCAGGCUCAACCCUGGAAAGCCGGCCGAUACUGUCGGACUAGAGUCCGGAAGAGGCGAGUGGAAUUCCCGGUGUAGCGGUGAAAUGCGCAGAUAUCGGGAGGAACACCAAUGGCGAAGGCAGCUCGCUGGGACGGUACUGACGCUGAGGCGCGAAAGCGUGGGG
rnacentral:rRNA from 1 species